rnacentral:tRNA from 1 species
GAGCAGUUAGUUUAAGUAAAAUAUUUGAUUUCGACUCAAAAGCCUAUGGUUUAAACCCAUAAUUGCCCA